GCUGCCAGGAGCUCAAUCUCGCCCUCCUCUAUUUGAACAACGCCUACUCCACAUCCAGGCCUCUCUUUCAGGGAAGAUGCAGAGGAAAUCCUGAGGGCAGUAGAAUACAUCUCCAAACAUGAUAAAAUGAUCUUGAUUCGGCUGAUGUGGUGCGGUGGUGGCGUGGGACACAUGUUGUGAAUGCUUUCCUAAUCUUGAUUUCAAAGGCUCCCAGCAGGCCCUUUCCAUUGAGAAUGACCACAUUCACGACAUGUUCAGUCACAGGAUGGCAGCUUGCAGGAGGAACUCUCAAAUGUCCGGGGCUCCACAAUAUUCUCCCCGCAGCAGCACUCAUGCGGUGGCUCAAGUGAUGCCCA